CUCAAUACCUCUUUAUUCCCACCUGCUAUUGUCUCUCUGUACCUGGAGACCAAAACAGCAAAACUGACCCAAGAAUUCAGAAUCUGCAUUUUGGCCAUUAUGGUCGCCAUACAUUGAGUGUGGAAUAAGGAUGGCCUAUUGAAGGCUCUAUCAGUGGUCUGUGCAGGAUUGGAAAACAUCCAUGUGCCACGGCCUGCCCUCCACUGCGCCUCUUCCCCAACUACCAAGCCUUCUUGUGGUGUUUUCUAGACCUGCAUGUUCUUGCAGGGAACAGCCAGGGCAGAUGCCAAGCCAAUUACUUUAUCAAUUAAUGGCUCAUUGUAUCCACUGUACAAGAUGUAAGGGAAAGAAUCUAUUGGAUAUUUUAGUUUUAUACAAGCUAGUGAGUGCGUGUUAUCAAAGUGACUUGAUUGAACAAGACUCAGGAAUUUUCUCCACUUCUGGGCUAAUGGCUUAGUUUCUGGAAUUCUAAGUUUUUGCAUGUAGGUUGGCCAUAGACUCUAUGAAAACACUGUUUUUACCAUUUUCUUUUCUUUUCUUUUCUUUUCAGCGUUGAUAGUGUAUUUUGGUGCUACAAUUUUGCAAACAAUGGUCAGACUUAAGUAUAUUUUUUCAUAUGCAGGAAUAUCUGUGAUUUUUCUGUCACUCAUUUUGAUGGAUUAUUGGAUCAAAUAGAAAUGUGUGCCCCGUGAAAGAAACUUUUGUUUGUUUGUGUUUGUGUUUCUAAAAGGUUGGCAGUAAACUUUGAAAGUAAACCUGUUGCUGCCUUACCAUGUCUUUCUAGGUACCCCAUUGAGACUGGGCCAGCACUGCUUUGCUCAAAUAAUUUAAUUUUGAUCAAAGGCAAUUUAUUUUUAUUAUUGUUUUAAAUAUGAAAUUUACUGUCAAAUUGGUUUCCAUACAACACCCAUGCUUAUCCCUCCCUCCCACCCCCCAUCAACCCUGUUUGUUCUCAGAAAGGCAAUUUAAUACAAGGAACAGGGAAAAAAGUAGAAUUGGCCUCCAUUAUUUAAGAUUAUUUAGUGAUAUUUUCUAUUUAAGAAGGUGUGGGUUGCAUGUCUCUGCUAUCUGGCAGCCACUGAAAAAGCCACAGCAGGAAACAAAAGAUUGAAACCCAAGGAAGAUCGUUCGGUAGGAUGCAGUCUUACAACAUUAGGCUGGGAUAGACUCUGAGACACAAUUCCUUAAAAGACGCCCUGUGUUUCAAAGAGGAGGGUUGGUGUAAAAUACAGGGUGCUCUAACUUAUGUUUCUAGAAGUGAUAUUUUAUUCCCAUCCCAAAACUUUACAACACCUGGGAAAAUAAGUAGGAAUGUCAUUGUGGUAAUGAACCUUAAGCGGAUGAUGACAAUUUUGAGAUACGUGCCCAAAUAGGAUAGCCCUCAUUUUCCUCAUUCCUCUUAAGGUGGUGGUCUGGACGUGUUCAUGUCUAAAACUUGUAGCAGAAGGCCUGUUGGAGUCUCCGCCUCUGAAGGAGGCUUGUGCAGAACACUCUUGGGAGCCUCACCGGGUGGCGUGGAAUGGAAUAGCAGGACAGGCAGAGGACAGAUUCCUGGAAGAAGAGAAUGAGAACUCCAUCCCUUUUAGCACCUUGGCCUGGUCCUCCUCUCGGCCUGGCAUCCCUGAGCAUGGGACUUCAGCAGAGAACAAAUGUCUAGCCUUCUAAGAAGAGAGAGAAGAGGACCAGAAGGGUGGAAAUAUAAAUGCCUGGCUGCACAGAGGUGGAUGAGGGAACCCAGAGAUCUACCUUCUAUAGACCUUCAACCAAACUGUGUUUUAGCCUCAUGCUUCAUCUUCACUCUCUGCGGUAAGAACUUCCCAGCAUCCCUUGUAGCCAAAGAGCAGGCAUGUGCCCUAAGAUCCACCAAUCAAACACCCACGUGAAACUCUGACCCGGAAGUCAGCAACAUGAGGAAACAGAUUGGAUUCUGAGCACGGUGCCUUCAUUUUGCAGGUGAAGGUGGUGGUGGCAGCAAUAUCCCUUCAGUAUGAGGUUCUGAGCUGCAUUCCUCGGGGUUUAGCCUUGAGCUUCUUCUUCUUCAGAUCUCCCGAUGCAUCUUAAUAAAUAACUUUUAAUGAAUUUUGCUUAAAGCAGCAUGGAUUUUAUAGUUUGCAAUUAAAAGAAAGAAAGAAAGAGAGAGAAAGAAGUAAAGAAAGAGAAAGAAAGAAAGAAAGAGAAAGAAAGAGAAAGAAAGAAAGCAGGCAGGCAGGCAAAAGAAAAGAAACACUAAUAAACACAUUUGGUCAGUGAAAGUAGGGUAAAUCUAAAAACGUGGAACUGGGUUUGGGGAUGGGAGCCACAGUUGGGUAGAGGUGAGGUAUCUUUUGUCAUGCACCAAGUGCUAGGGUUAGCCAUUACUGCUUUCCUAAAGGAGGUGCCCUCUGACUGUGGCCACAACCUAAGGUGGAGAAAAUCCCCAAGAUCUGGAGCUUUGAAAGGCUGACAAAGACAACCACUUCUUUAUCCCCCCCAAAAGCACUUAGAAACAAUGACAUCAAGCUAGUAGCCUCAGCUGGAAAUGCUGUGUGACUUUAUCUCAUCAAUUAAGAGUUCUCUGUAAGAGGGGCACCUGGAUGGCUCAGUCAGUUGAGUGUCUCUUGAUUUUUGACUCAGGUUGUGAUCCUGGGGUUGUGGCAUCAUGAGUUGGGCUCCAUGUGGAGUAUGGAGACUGCUUAGGAUUCUCUCUCUCUCUCUCUCUCUCUCUCUCCUUCUGCCCUUCCCCCACUCGCACUCUUUCUCUGUCUCUCUAAAAUAAAAAUUAAAAAAAGAAAAGUUCUCAGAAAAAAACCUUGUUCAGACCCAUUGGAAAAUUUCAGGUUCAGGGGUGUCUCACCAUGAAAAGUUAUGAUUUCAAAUUGUCUCAAAGAAGCAGGCAUCGAAGAAGGAGUAGGAAGAGACAGAUCACUAAUGUCACAUGUAAAGAGAGGGAAUCUUCCUACUUAAACACAGUCCACACAGGAUCUCUGGCUGUGUCUGUAUGCACAUGCAGUUGACAGGAAGUGGAAGAGAGGGCAACUAAGAUUUUUAGGAAACCCAUUGUCAAAGACACCUCAAGCCUGGCUGCCAACCGCCUGUGAUUUUAUCCUUAAAACUAAUCCUAGGCCACUAGUUCUGCACCAGCAUGAAGAAGUGUAUGGAAGGUGUGUAUUUUCCAAGAAAGCUAUGUUCUUUAUUACUCACCAAGCAUGAAUUAACAUGGGAUAAUUAGCAGGGAGUUCAUCCCAGAGGGCAGCUUCUAGAAUCACCAACCAAGUAAAUACCUGAGCUGGAAGUCAUCGCUAUUCUUAUUCAACAGGACUGAUUAUUUCCUUAUUGCUUAAUGACUGCCGAGGUCUCCCAUUCUUCUAUUUUUUAAACUGGAAAUUUUACAAAUCUUUGGUUGUCCUGUUUUUUUUCUCCACUAUUUUUUAAUGGGUGUGUUGAGAGACAAUUUGUCUUGGAACUUUGGGCUUUCAAUAGAUAAUAGUUUGAAAAAUUAGUGUUACUAGAAGUCCUUACUAUUUAAAUAGAAGAUUCUUCAGAGGAAGAAAGACUAUAAUGAGAAGGAAUAUGUUCUGGACUCAAAAUAGUAGUCAGAUAUCUUAGCAAGGACUGAGAUCUUGAACAGUCUCCAGAUACCAGUAAGAAUCAUUGUAUUACCCUCUUUCUCAUCUGUUGGAUUUUUUUUUUUUUCCUUAUUUUUACAUGUGGUGAAUGAACUGGGAGAGGAGAGGAGAAGUGGUCUAGAAAGGAUUAAGAACCUACCAUUCAGUGACUCCCAGAGCUUUUUGCACAUGAAAUGGAUAAGGAAAAUGUCUGAGACAAACAAUCUGAAUUUUAAAUGCAGAUCAAAGUCCUUGCAGCAGCGAAGAAAGCCUGUGGGUAUUUCAUGGAGGUUUACCAAGAAAGCAGGCAUCUUUGCCUCCACUUCAUGAACUUAUAUUUUAAGAAGCUCAGCCAUUCCAGUCCAUGCAGAAAAAGACUCUCAAAGGGAUAUUUACAAUGUGGAUCUUAUAUUAAACAUUUGGUUUUAUAUGCUUAAAUAUUUAUAAAAGCAUAUGUGGAAUAAAUUUUAGUCCACAAACUGAA